rnacentral:rRNA from 1 species
UACGGAAGGUCCGGGCGUUAUCCGGAUUUAUUGGGUUUAAAGGGAGCGUAGGCCGGUCUUUAAGCGUGCCGUGAAAUUUUGUGGCUCAACCAUGAGAGUGCGGCGCGAACUGGAGACCUUGAGUGCGCGGAAGGCAGGCGGAAUUCGUGGUGUAGCGGUGAAAUGCUUAGAUAUCACGAAGAACUCCGAUUGCGAAGGCAGCUCACUGGACUGCAACUGACACUGAGGCUCGAAAGCGUGGGGAGCAAACAGG